rnacentral:rRNA from 1 species
AACGAACGCUGGCGGCAUGCCUAACACAUGCAAGUCGAACGAGACCUUCGGGUCUAGUGGCGCACGGGUGCGUAACGCGUGGGAACCUGCCCUUAGGUUCGGAAUAACUCCCCGAAAGGGGUGCUAAUACCGGAUAAUGUCUUCGGACCAAAGAUUUAUCGCCUUUGGAUGGGCCCGCGUUGGAUUAGCUAGUUGGUAGGGUAAAAGCCUACCAAGGCGACGAUCCAUAGCUGGUCUGAGAGGAUGAUCAGCCACACUGGGACUGAGACACGGCCCAGAAUCCUACGGGAGGCAGCAGUGAGGAAUAUUGGAAAAUGGGCGAAAGCCUGAUCCAGCAAUGCCGCGUGAGUGAUGAAGGCCUUAGGGUUGUAAAGCUCUUUUACCCGGGAUGAUAAUGACAGUACCGGGAGAAUAAGCUCCGGCUAACUCCGUG